rnacentral:lncRNA from 1 species
AAAAGAGAUUUAAUGUUAGUUUUAAAAUUAAAAAAUAUAUAAAUGAGACAUGCUCAAUUUUGUGUGCAGUAACGUCAUAAUUGCUUAUUUUCCGAUUUUCAAUGGCACAAUUACAAAAAAAGCAUGAAAGUUGUCAAAUUAAAAUUAAAAUCUAUCAAAUAGUCUCUCACAAAAGCUCCAACUUUGAAAUGAUUUUGUCAAAAACGACUUUUGAUACAUGCAGAAGUAUAAAUGUUUGGAUAGAAAACAGUUAAUUUAAAUGCUGUCGAUGCCUCUCUACUGGUAUGAUUCCAUUAAAUUGUGCCAAAGAACAUACAAGUAACAAGGACAGAUUUAAAACUAAAUAUUAAGUAAAAUAUUUGGUUAAUUUGAGUAUUAAAUAAAGGACUUGAAAUCACUAUAGAACAAUAAUGAAAUUAUAAUAAGAGGGCACAUUUGUCCUAUUGAUCUGACCAGAAGUACUUGUUUUAGUACAACAAAUCAUUGGUCAUGGUCUAAAAUGGAGCAGAUUGAAAUAUUGGUCUCCAUGUCAGUAUAAUUUGAAUACAGUAGACCAUUUGUCCUCAAGUUUAUGCUGUUAAUACACAUUGUAUAAAAUUUUGAGCAAAUGAUUACCAUAUUCACUUAGCACUUGAGAUUCAAAUUAAUAUAAAAUAAAUAUAAUUAAGUUACAAAAAAAUCUUCUCACCAAUAGUACUUCAAACUAAUAAUUGCA